UAGGGUUAGCAAUAACUCUAUGGUUCUAGUGGCGCACGGGUGAGUAACACGUGGGUAACCUGCCCUUGAGACUGGGAUACCCCCUCGAAAGGGGGGCUAAUACCGGAUACGUUUCUCGGAUCGAAAGGUCUGAGAAGGAAAGGUGGCGAAAGCUGCCGCUCUUGGAGGGGCUCGCGGCCUAUCAGCUAGUUGGCGGGGUAACGGCCCACCAAGGCUAUGACGGGUAGCUGGUCUGAGAGGACGACCAGCCACACGGGGACUGAGACACGGCCCCGACUCCUACGGGAGGCAGCAGUGGGGAAUUUUCCGCAAUGGGCGAAAGCCUGACGGAGUGACGCCGCGUGUGGGACGAAGGCCUUCGGGUCGUAAACCACUGUCAGUGGGAAAGAUGGGUGUCGGCGCGAUAACCGCCGACAUUUGACGGUACCUGCAGAGGAAGCCCCGGCUAACUCUGUGCCAGCAGCCGCGGUAAGACAGAGGGGGCAAGCGUUGCUCGGAAUUACUGGGCGUAAAGGGCGCGUAGGCGGGAUGGCAAGUCGGUCGUGAAAUCCCUCGGCUCAACCGAGGGUCGUCGAUCGAUACUGCCGUUCUUGAGGAUUGCAGAGGAGACUGGAAUUCCCGGUGUAGCGGUGAAAUGUGUAGAGAUCGGGAGGAACACCGGUGGCGAAGGCGGGUCUCUGGGCAAUUCCUGACGCUGAGGCGCGAAAGCGUGGGGA
rnacentral:rRNA from 1 species